rnacentral:rRNA from 1 species
UACCAGCUCUCCGAGUGGUGUGGAUGUUUAUUGGGCCUAAAGCGUCCGUAGCUGGCUGGGCAAGUCCCCUGUUAAAUCCACCGAUUUAAUCGUUGGUGUGCGGGGGAUACUGUUCGACUAGGGGACGGGAGAGGCCGACGGUAUUUUCGGGGUAGGGGUGAAAUCCUAUAAUCCCGGGAAGACCACCAGUGGCGAAGGCGGUGUCGGCUAGAACGCGCCCGUCGGUGAGGGAUGAAAGCUGGGGGAGCGAACCGGAUUAGAUACCCGGGUAUCCCAGCUGUAAACGAUGCAGGCUAGGUGUUUGGGCGGCCACGUGCCGCUCUAGUGCCGCAGAGAAGUCGUUAAGCCUGCCGCCUGGGGAGUACGGCCGCAAGGCUGAAACUUAAAGGAAUUGGCGGGGGAGCACCACGAAGGGGUGAAGCUUGCGGUUU